UCAGUCCUAACACAUGCAAGUCGAACGGCAGCACGGACUUCGGUAUGGUGGCGAGUGGCGAACGGGUGAGUAAUACAUCGGAACGUGCCCAGUCGUGGGGGAUAACGUAGCGAAAGCUACGCUAAUACCGCAUACGAUCUACGGAUGAAAGCGGGGGAUCGCAAGACCUCGCGCGAUUGGAGCGGCCGAUGGCAGAUUAGGUAGUUGGUGGGGUAAAGGCUCACCAAUCCGACGAUCUGUAGCUGGUCUGAGAGGAUGAUCAGCCACACUGGGACUGAGACACGGCCCAGACUCUUACGGGAGGCAGCAGUGAGGAAUAUUGGUCAAUGGGCGGAAGCCUGAACGAGCCAUCCCGCGUGCAGGAAGACGGCCCUACGGGUUAAAGGUGCUUUUCCGGGGGAAGAAUAAGGCCCACGUGGGGCCGAUGCC
rnacentral:rRNA from 1 species